UUUUGGCAAGUGGAGGACAUGCGCAAUUUUGGAAGGUAUCCUUGGACAACCUGAACAUCUGCAAGUAAGGAAACCGUCAAUCACUCCAACCCUAAUCGGAAGGAGACUUGGUCAAUUACUUCGAAGAAGAUCCAUCCGCUAAUUUUGGAAGGAGAACUAAGCACAAGGAUGGAGGACAACUCAGAUCCUAGCUGCUACCUUGGAGGAACUCGUCAACCCUUGGAGGCACACCAGAGAAAGACCAUUCAUCCGCCAAAAUCUGACUAACAUACCUUGCCGGAAGGAGCUCCGUCACCGGAAAAUGGAAGACAUGCACACGUUGGUGCUUCCAACGUCAGCCUCCUCCAAUUGACGUCACUUCCUUGGGAUUCACUCGUGUUUCUGGUGAAGUGCAAUACUUGACUCAACUUUAUUUUUCUUGUGGUUUGGACUUUGAUCGCUGUUGACCCUUGCUUGUUUCAACCGGACAAUCAUUUGCCAUGGCUGGUUUGGAGGUUGUGGGAGAGGACAUGUAAAGGAGAAGAGGGUGCUGCCAGAGAUAGUUGACCGGAAAUUUAAGGUGCUUAACCUUGCGGGAAGCCACAAUGUCUGUUGGCAUAUCCGACGAUUGCCUCCCCCAUUCUCUACAAAAGACAGGGGUUCAUACGGUCUCACGCAAAGGAGGGUGAGGCAUCAACUACGACUGUACGUAGAGUUGCUGCCCGAGAGAGAAGGCGUCCGCUGGGCAAUAUCGGUGAUUGCAUCCCCCAACACCAUCUUGAUUCAAGUUGGGAUUAAACGUGGAGAGGUUCAGACAUGCUGCCCGUGAUCGUGAGAAGCUGAAUUCUAAGGUUGUGGAAUACUUCCACCGGCUUUCUCCUCUGGUGUGCACAUGGAGUUCCCGAGCGAGGCCUCGGGAGGUGAGGAUCGGUUCACCCUAUAGAAUCGAGGUCGGGUGUACUUGCUUUGAGCCCGUCUCCUUGACACACAACCGGCUGAGAUCCCACUAAGGCCGUGGGCUAAGGACACGAUUCCCGGGUUAUAAAGCCUUCCUAGGGUUCAGUGUGGUUUGCUAUGAAUCAGGAUUGCAUGACAGAGUGAAAUGAAUGGAUGAAUGUAUGAUGAGUGAUGAGUGUUUUGUAAUCGCUUACGCUUGUAUUAAGCCUCUUCACACCCUUAGUCGAUUGUAGUAGGUGAAGCUGGGUUGGGGAAGCCUCUCUUGUUAAAUUUGACGUACUUAUUGGCGCCAGGGUGACUGUCCGACUGGGAAAACCAUUGCUGUAAUUAAUAUUUUUAAGUCCCAUACCACUGAGCAGCAAGAAACCUCCUAGAACUUGGAGUAGGAUCGGCCGACGACGUGCUUAUUUUUGCCGCUGCAAGACCGACCCUCAAAGGGUGUUGUCUUUGCCCCUGACUUCUUGGAAUGAGCUGAUGCAUGGCCGAUGCCAUUGAGAGGAGCAACGACAACCAGCACUUUUCUUUUCCAUUUUUCUUAAAUUCUUCUGAAAAUUUGAGAAGCCUAGUGAG